rnacentral:rRNA from 1 species
UGGGGAAUAUUGCACAAUGGGCGCAAGCCUGAUGCAGCCAUGCCGCGUGUAUGAAGAAGGCCUUCGGGUUGUAAAGUACUUUCAGCGAGGAGGAAGGCAUUAAGGUUAAUAACCUUGGUGAUUGACGUUACUCGCAGAAGAAGCACCGGCUAACUCCGUGCCAGCAGCCGCGGUAAUACGGAGGGUGCAAGCGUUAAUCGGAAUUACUGGGCGUAAAGCGCACGCAGGCGGUCUGUCAAGUCGGAUGUGAAAUCCCCGGGCUCAACCUGGGAACUGCAUUCGAAACUGGCAGGCUAGAGUCGUGUAGAGGGGGGUAGAAUUCCAGGUGUAGCGGUGAAAUGCGUAGAGAUCUGGGGGAAUACCGGUGGCGAAGGCGGCCCCCUGGACAAAGACUGACGCUCAGGUGCGAAAGCGUGGGGAGCAAACA